AACGCUGUGCUACGGAAUUACGAGUGGCGUGGUAAGAGGAGGGAUUGAUGAAGUCCUUCCGUGGCAUUGAACAUACAAUUUCUUGACGGGUACCUUACCUUGCUUCAAUUGUAGAUGAAAUGUUCAACGAACUUUAAAGAUAAAGACUACAUUUCAACAUUCGUACCGAGAAAUUAUACCGGCAAGUCUUGACUUCUGCAGUAUAAAGCAGACGAAUCCCCUCUUACCUAUCUGUACUUUGUUCUAGCAAAGCUACAUAAAGUGUUAUCGCGUUGUUUUCUCUCUUUAUUAUGCAUUCGUCACGUGCCAAAACCAGAGGCCCCUUUUCACAAACAUUCCCUAGAAAAUAAUACACGGCCAGGCACAAGAGAUGCACUGAAGAGCCAAAGAGCGCGCGUAUGUUAAAGCGUCUUUUAUUGACUACUUCCAGUGGACGGAUGUUUACGCAAUUGCACACACAUCGGAAGUCGGCCGCCACACCUCGUCCGAUUCACCGUAAGUCUGGCAACACAACAAGAUUCUACGAUGUCCUGAACAUUUUAUAAAUCCAUGAAAUGGAAAGGUGAACAAGGAACAGCUUACCUAAAUCUUCGACGAGUUUCAACAUCACACCACCAAUGUGCAAAUCGCCCUUCACUCGGAGUGUCCUUUCCACCUGCAGAUCGGUGACGUACACACGCAGGUCCCAGGAACCGUCACCAACCAAAUAACCAUCGGCCAUCAUCUUGGUAAUUUCGUUUUGUAAA